AUUGCAUAACGGCCAUAGCAGAAGCGCUCACAGUGCAGACCUGUCGGAUUUUAAUGAAUCUGAAUUCUGCU
rnacentral:ribozyme from 1 species